rnacentral:rRNA from 1 species
CCUACGGGCGGCAGCAGUGAGGAAUAUUGGUCAAUGGACGAGAGGCUGAACCCGCCAAGUAGCGUGAAGGAUGACUGCCCUAUGGGUUGUAAACUUCUUUUAUAUGGGCAUAAAAUGUUCCACGUGUGGGAUUUUGUCUUUACCAUAUGAAUAAGGAUCGGCUAACUCCGUGCCAGCAGCCGCGGUAAUACGGAGGAUCCGAGCGUUCUCUGGAUUUAUUGGGUUUAAAGGGAGCGUAGGUGGAUUGUUAAGUCAGUUGUGAAAGUUUGCGGAUCACACGUAAAAUUGCAGUUGAUACUGGCAGUCUGGAGUACAGUAGAGGUAGGCGGAAUUCGUGGUGUAGCGGUGAAAUGCUUAGAUAUCACGAAGAACUCCGAUUGCGAAGGCAGUUCACUGGACUGCAACUGACACUGAGGCUCGAAAGUGUGGGUAUCAAACAGGAUUAGAUACCCUUGUAGUC